UACAGAGGUCUCGAGCGUUGUUCGGAUUCAUUGGGCGUAAAGGGUGCGUAGGUGGCGCCGUAAGUCGGGUGUGAAAUUUCGGAGCUUAACUCCGAAACUGCAUUCGAUACUGCGGUGCUUGAGGACUGGAGAGAAGACUGGAAUUCAUGGUGUAGCAGUGAAAUGCGUAGAGAUCAUGAGGAAGACCAGUGGCGAAGGCGGGUCUCUGGACAGUUCCUGACACUGAGGCACGAAGGCCAGGGGAGCAAACGGG
rnacentral:rRNA from 1 species